GAUGAACGCUGGCGGCGUGCCUAAUACAUGCAAGUCGAGCGAACAGAUGAGAAGCUUGCUUCUCUGAUGUUAGCGGCGGACGGGUGAGUAACACGUGGGUAACCUACCUAUAAGACUGGGAUAACUCCGGGAAACCGGGGCUAAUACCGGAUAAUAUUUUGAACCGCAUGGUUCGAUAGUGAAAGACGGUUUCGGCUGUCACUUAUAGAUGGACCCGCGCCGUAUUAGCUAGUUGGUAAGGUAACGGCUUACCAAGGCGACGAUACGUAGCCGAUCUGGGAGGGUGAUCGGCCACACUGGAACUGAGACACGGUCCAGACUCCUACGGGAGGCAGCAGUAGGGAAUCUUCCGCAAUGGGCGAAAGCCUGACGGAGCAACGCCGCGUGAGUGAUGAAGGUCUUCGGAUCGUAAAACUCUGUUGUUAGGGAAGAACAAAUUUGUUAGUAACUGAACAAGUCUUGACGGUACCUAACCAGAAAGCCACGGCUAACUACGUGCCAGCCGCCGCGGUAA
rnacentral:rRNA from 1 species